CACACCGACCGCCGGCUGGAUUAACAGUGUUGUCGCUUUGAACCGAGAGUCACGUCGGGGUCACGUCGUCGGUCAUCUCACCUGGACGCUCAACAACAGCCAGUCUAACCGGUGCUGUGAUGAUCCAGAUGUAAGAACAAAGGCUUCACAGACUUGACCACUACUCUCUAUUCCUCAGGGAGUCUGGCUCUGCUGCUGCUGCUGUGUGUCAUCCGGAAGAAAAGAAGGCUGGAGGGAACCUACAGGCCCAGUGCGGAGGAGAAGAAACAG